GAUGCUUUUUCAGCUGCAGCGGGCUGCCAAUUACAGCUCUUGCCGACUUUUCUCGCCGCUGUGAUGACUCGCAGCUGAAACCCGACUGCGUUGACUCGAUUCAUCAUUGUUGAGGUUAUCAACUGUUCACUGAUAACUGAGACUUGAGUCUUCAUAUUCUUGGGUGGAACCAUCCACAGUAACCUUAUGUACACUUUAUGGACAAGUGCCUCAAGAGGAAGCCUGGAGGUGAACUGCUGCCAGCUAAUGGAUGAAGAUGGAAACGGGAUUCAGACUCUAAAAACAAACAUGGAGAAAGCACAGAGAAUGGAGGCCUUGCACAUGGGCAAACGGACUCCCAGCGUGUGGUGACCUCGAUCCAACACUAUCAAGAUUUUACAUCCAGCAGACCAAGAUGAGUGAAUGCUUUAUAGAAUACUCUGACCAUCUCCUGGUGCUGAAGGAGAAAAUCAUGUAUUAUGUAUUGAAAUGGAUGUACAUUCUAUAUAUAUGGAUUUCAUAUAACCGAAUAUCUCAAGACUAGGACUGUUUGAUGUCUCUUUCUUUAUGUAACAGACAAAUUCUCUGUGAAUUUACACAUGAAAUCCUAACAUUUUUUAGCCAAUUGUAUGGCUAUAAAUGGAUACACAAUGCCAAAUAUCAACUAAU